rnacentral:lncRNA from 1 species
GCAGGUUAAAAGGACUUAAAUUUGGAGCAAAUCGGAUUAAAAACCGAUCCUAAAUGAAGCCUCAAAUCGAAGCCAAAAUCAUAGUCAAAUUGGGCCCAAAAUUAAGCCAAAUUGGACUCAUACCCAAUCCAAUUAAGCCCAAAUGACCGCUUAACAUAUGGUGAAUUGCCCGAUCGUCCACAAAGUUUUUGUCGUGGUCCACAAAACAGUCGCCCGAUAUUUGUCGCGGUCCACAGAGGCGGGGCUGAGUUGUGCACAAACGAUGGCUGAGGCUAGGUUUUGCACAAGAUCAGACGGCCAGUAGAGCUUAGUUUUAUAUGCUUCAGUGGUGGCCGAUAUCCAUUGCGUGAUCAAACGGUUAAGAAGUAUCUAGGGGCAUGAUCCAACGGUCGGUACUCAUUGCCGGCUGGAGAAUGAAAUGGAGAAGCCUUUUAUACGAUCGGGGGGUCCAAAUCCAAUCUUAGGCUUGAUCCAACAGACAGCAUUAAUCCUAAUUUGAUUUAGGAUUGUUUAGGCUUGAUUUUGGGUGGUGGGAUGCUAAUCUGAUGA